UACGGAGGGGGCUAGCGUUGUUCGGAAUUACUGGGCGUAAAGGGCGCGUAGGUGGCCAACUCAGUCGGAUGUGAAAUCCCCAGGCUCAACUUGGGAACUGCAUCCGAUACUGGAUGGCUUGAAUCCGGGAGAGGGAUGCAGAAUUCCAGGUGUAGCGGUGAAAUGCGUAGAUAUCUGGAGGAAUACCGGUGGCGAGGGCGGCAUCCUGGACCGGAAUUGACACUGAGGAGCGAAAGCCAGGGGAGCAAACGGG
rnacentral:rRNA from 1 species